rnacentral:misc_RNA from 1 species
AGUUGGUGUGGUCCUUACAAUUGUUGUCAUGAACUGGUUCCAAGCUGCACAGCCUGCACUUCUGUAUAUUGUACCAUCUGUAAUUGGAUUCUUAGCAGCUCAUGUGCUAUGGAAUGGCGAAGUCAAACCGUUGAUGGAAUUCGAUGAAUCCAAGAGUGCCACAUCAUCUAAAGAUAGUAGCGAAACCAAGUCUGACAAAAAGGUCGAGUGAAUCGAAACUUUGUAGCGCGGGAUAGAGAUAUUUUUAUUUUCUUUGGGGG